rnacentral:rRNA from 1 species
ACGGAAGGCAGCAGUGGGGAAUAUUGCACAAUGGGCGAAAGCCUGAUGCAGCGACGCCGCGUGAGCGAAGAAGUAUUUCGGUAUGUAAAGCUCUAUCAGCAGGGAAGAAGAAAUGACGGUACCUGACUAAGAAGCCCCGGCUAACUACGUGCCAGCAGCCGCGGUGAUACGUAGGGGGCAAGCGUUAUCCGGAUUUACUGGGUGUAAAGGGAGCGCAGGCGGCAGGGCAAGUCUGAUGUGAAAACCCGGGGCUUAACCUCGGGACUGCAUUGGAAACUGCUCAGCUUGAGUGUCGGAGAGGUAAGUGGAAUUCCUAGUGUAGCGGUGAAAUGCGUAGAUAUUAGGAGGAACACCAGUGGCGAAGGCGGCUUACUGGACGACAACUGACGCUGAGGCUCGAAAGCGUGGGGAGCAAACAGGAUUAGAUACCCUGGUA